rnacentral:lncRNA from 10 species
UUCCGUGUUGGGAGGGGCAACUGGCAAAGAGCAGAAGCUACCACCUCUGCCCAUUCGAAGGGGUCAUGGCUCAGAGAUAUUUUCCAGAGAGAGAGAGGCAGUCCAUAAAAUCAGAGCUCCAAAGCUUUUCCCACAGAAACUGACUUUAUUUGAAAAAGAGUGUGGGCCGGGGGGAGAUUCAAGCCUGGAAACAUAAAUAAAAUUUACUACUAGAUGACUGACUUUACAAGAAAUACUAUUAAUAAAAGAAGGUUUUCAGGCAGAAAGCAGAUGACUCCAGAUGGCAAUACACAUCCACAUGGACAAACAAAGAGCACCAGCUCAUAACAUAUAGAAACGUGAUAUACUUAAGAACAGGACAAGAGAGGACAGUAGGAGCGAAGCUGCAUUGGAAUAAAGAAAUGACAGCAGAUGUUAACUUGAACCCCCAGGAAUACAUUAAGAGAACCUGAAACUGUAAGUUAACAUAACAAGCUCUAUACAUUUAUACCUUCCCCUUCAGCUUCUUUAAAAGACAUAAAAUUAUGUGAAUUAAUUAUAACAAUGUAUUAUAUUGUUUGAACAUAUAUUUAACGUAUUUAAUAGUAUCAAAAAAGUGAG